rnacentral:rRNA from 1 species
CGGUCAAAUCACGCUGAAAGUACGAUCACCGAAGUUAAGCAGCGUAGAGCCAGGUCAGUACUUAGAUGGGGGACCGCUUGGGAACACCUGGU